UACGUAGGGUGCAAGCGUUGUUCGGAAUUACUGGGCGUAAAGGGCGCGUAGGCGGCCUGUUAAGUCGAACGUGAAAUCCCUGGGCUCAACCCAGGAACUGCGUCCGAUACUGGCAGGCUUGAAUUCGGGAGAGGGAUGUGGAAUUCCAGGUGUAGCGGUGAAAUGCGUAGAUAUCUGGAGGAACACCGGUGGCGAAGGCGGCAUCCUGGACCGAUAUUGACGCUGAGGCGCGAAAGCCAGGGGAGCAAACGGG
rnacentral:rRNA from 1 species